AUUGAACGCUGGCGGCAGGCCUAACACAUGCAAGUCGAGCGGAUGAAGGGAGCUUGCUCCUGGAUUCAGCGGCGGACGGGUGAGUAAUGCCUAGGAAUCUGCCUGGGAGUGGGGGAUAACGUCCGGAAACGGGCGCUAAUACCGCAUACGUCCUGAGGGAGAAAGUGGGGGAUCUUCGGACCUCACGCUAUCAGAUGAGCCUAGGUCGGAUUAGCUAGUUGGUGGGGUAAAGGCCUACCAAGGCGACGAUCCGUAACUGGUCUGAGAGGAUGAUCAGUCACACUGGAACUGGGACACGGUCCAGACUCCUACGGGAGGCAGCAGUGGGGAAUAUUGGACAAUGGGCGAAAGCCUGAUCCAGCCAUGCCGCGUGUGUGAAGAAGGUCUUCGGAUUGUAAAGCACUUUAAGUUGGGAGGAAGGGCAGUAAGUUAAUACCUUGCUGUUUUGACGUUACCAACAGAAUAAGCACCGGCUAACUUCGUG
rnacentral:rRNA from 1 species